rnacentral:rRNA from 1 species
UACGAAGGGGGCUAGCGUUGCUCGGAAUGACUGGGCGUAAAGGGCGCGUAGGCGGCUUGCACAGUCAGGCGUGAAAUUCCUGGGCUCAACCUGGGGACUGCGCUUGAGACGUGUGGGCUUGAGUGGGGAAGAGGGUCGUGGAAUUCCCAGUGUAGAGGUGAAAUUCGUAGAUAUUCGGAAGAACACCAGUGGCGAAGGCGGCUCACUGGACCGUUGUUGACGCUGAGGUGCGAAAGCGUGGGGAGCAAACAGG